GCAAAUCGACGAGAUUGAUUUCAGGAGAGAAAAGUUCACUCCCAAGAUUGAAUGGUGUAGCUCAAGAUGGGAUGAAUUUGCGUCAAUCACUCCAAUUCGAGCUUGAUCUCUUAGCCCCACAACUCCCUUUUGAUGAUCAUGUUGUAAAGACUCAGUCGUUGGCUCAAUCUUGGAAAACCCAAAUCCAAAGGUAGCUUUUUAAGCUUUUUAUUUAUUUAUUGAUUGGUUUUUCUCUUACACACCAUGAUACUGUGUAGAAGAGUGUAUUCUCAAUAUCCAGUUUGCCCUAUUUAAAACAGUUUCAUUCCUAUACUGUGUGUAAAAGUAAUGUGAAGGAAUUCAGCAAUGUGGGGUUUCAAAGGUUGAUUAGGAAAUGGGGAUUUUUAAAUUUUCUUGUUUUCAUGUGAUCAAAUUGAAAUGUUUUAGUCUUUGGCACAACUUUGGAAACUCAAAUCUUAAUGUGGCUAUAAAGUAAACACUUCAUACAUUUGUUCCAGGUUGAUGCUAUGAUACUAUGUAGAAAAAUAGUUAGGGCUGCAGAGUUAUUCGGUAGCUGCGCUGGUGGGAGGUAGCAGGUAUCCGAUGAAAUAGCCAAGGUGUGCCCAAGCUGGUCACAAUACCACCAUCAUUAAAAACAAAGAAGGGAGUAGUUGGGUGUGGCUAUAUAUAAUCUCUAUAUUUCUUCUACACUAUUUGGAUUUAUUUCGUUCCUAUACUGUGUAGAAGAGUAAUGUGAGGAAGUCAGAGAUUUUGGGCGUGAGGUUGGUUCAGAAUAGGAAAGAUUUUCACUUGUCUUGUAUUUUAGUUUAUAGAUAAUGAGUCGGGUGAUCAUUACUUGGUAAUACAAUGUGGAACCUGACAAAAUAUGGGUGCGCUUGUUUGGAAGACAGAUUUAACUGAAUUGGGUUUUUGGAAUUAACUUAGUAAUUACGUUAUAAUGGAA
rnacentral:lncRNA from 1 species